rnacentral:rRNA from 1 species
CCUACGGGAGGCAGCAGUGGGGAAUAUUGCACAAUGGGCGCAAGCCUGAUGCAGCCAUGCCGCGUGUAUGAAGAAGGCCUUCGGGUUGUAAAGUACUUUCAGCGGGGAGGAAGGGAGUAAAGUUAAUACCUUUGCUCAUUGACGUACC